rnacentral:rRNA from 1 species
ACGGGAGGCAGCAGUGGGGAAUAUUGCACAAUGGGGGAAACCCUGAUGCAGCGACGCCGCGUGAGUGAAGAAGUAUUUCGGUAUGUAAAGCUCUAUCAGCAGGGAAGAAAAUGACGGUACCUGACUAAGAAGCCCCGGCUAACUACGUGCCAGCAGCCGCGGUAAUACGUAGGGGGCAAGCGUUAUCCGGAUUUACUGGGUGUAAAGGGAGUGUAGACGGUGAAGCAAGUCAGAAGUGAAAGCUCGGGGCUCAACCCCGGAACUGCUUUUGAAACUGUUUUACUAGAGUGCAGGAGAGGUAAGCGGAAUUCCUAGUGUAGCGGUGAAAUGCGUAGAUAUUAGGAGGAACACCAGUGGCGAAGGCGGCUUACUGGACUGUAACUGACGUUGAGGCUCGAAAGCGUGGGGAGCAAACAGGAUUAGAUACCCUGGUA